rnacentral:tRNA from 2 species
UCUUCCUUAGCUCAGUUGGUUAGAGCAUCUGACUGUUAAUCAGAGGGUCCUUGGUUCGAGCCCAAGAGGAAGAGCAA